GUGCUCAAUUCAGCAGCACAUAUACUAAAAUUGGAACGACACAGAGAAAAUUAGCAGGGCCCCUGUGCAAGGAUGACACACAAAUUUGUGGAGCGUUCCAUAUUUUU
rnacentral:snRNA from 1 species